rnacentral:rRNA from 1 species
GACGUAGGGCGCGAGCGUUGUCCGGAUUUAUUGGGCGUAAAGAGCUCGUAGGCGGCUUGUCGCGUCGACUGUGAAAUCCCGCGGCUCAACUGCGGGUCUGCAGUCGAUACGGGCAGGCUAGAGUUCGGUAGGGGAGACUGGAAUUCCUGGUGUAGCGGUGAAAUGCGCAGAUAUCAGGAGGAACACCGAUGGCGAAGGCAGGUCUCUGGGCCGAUACUGACGCUGAGGCGCGAAAGCCAGGGGAGGCAAACGGG